GUGGGGAAUAUUGGACAAUGGGGGGAACCCUGAUCCAGUCAUGCCGCGUGUGUGAAGAAGGCCUUUUGGUUGUAAAGCACUUUAAGCGAGGAGGAGGCUACCGAGAUUAAUACUCUUGGAUAGUGGACGUUACUCGCAGAAUAAGCACCGGCUAACUCUGUGCCAGCAGCCGCGGUAAUACAGAGGGUGCAAGCGUUAAUCGGAUUUACUGGGCGUAAAGCGCGCGUAGGUGGCCAAUUAAGUCAAAUGUGAAAUCCCCGAGCUUAACUUGGGAAUUGCAUUCGAUACUGGUUGGCUAGAGUAUGGGAGAGGAUGGUAGAAUUCCAGGUGUAGCGGUGAAAUGCGUAGAGAUCUGGAGGAAUACCGAUGGCGAAGGCAGCCAUCUGGCCUAAUACUGACACUGAGGUGCGAAAGCAUGGGGAGCAAACAGGAUUAGAUACCCCGGUAGUCC
rnacentral:rRNA from 1 species